CUUCUAAUUAUAAGUGUAGA
rnacentral:snRNA from 1 species